AUUGAACGCUGGCGGAAUGCUUUACACAUGCAAGUCGAACGGCAGCACGGGGGCAGCCCUGGUUGCGAGUGGCGAACGGGUGAGUAAUACAUCUGAACGUGCCCGGCCGUGGGGGAUAACAUAUCGAAAGUUACGCUAAUACUGCAGACGAUCUGAUGAUGAAAGCGGGGGACCUUCGGGCCUCGCGCGAGCGGAGCGGCCGAUGUCAGGUUUGGUAGCUGGUGGGGUAAAGGCCUACCUAGCCGGCGAUCGGUAGCUGGUCUGAGUGUACGAGCAGCCACACUGGGACUGAGACACGGCCCAGACUCCUACGGGAGGCAGCAGUGGGGAAUUUUGGACAAUGGGCGCAAGCCUGAUCCAGCCAUUCCGCGUGCGGGACGAAGGCCUUCGGGUUGUAAACUGCUUUUGUGCGGAACGAAAAGGCUCUGGCUAAUACGUGGCGUUCAUGACGGUACCGUAAGAAUAAGCACCGGCUAACUACGUG
rnacentral:rRNA from 1 species